ACUGAGAGCACGUGGGUUUCGUCUAGACGACGGAUAAACUGACGUUUUUGGAAAUACCUGGAUUCGAUUGUGGAUUUCCAUCUCUUCGAUACACACAUGAACCUCAGCAGCGAUUUCGCCGGAACUCUCUCCAGGACACACUCUACGAGAUCGUGGUGGAGCGGUUCCACAACUAAGGAGCAAAUUUUUUUGUUUCUCAUUGUCUUUCUUUUUUUUUUGGUGGGAGUUUCUCAUUCUCUUUCAGUU